rnacentral:lncRNA from 1 species
GGGAGGCCUGUGGGCAGCACAAAAUGCUGUCAGGAGGCUCGAAACGGGCCCGGUGGCAACUGGCGUCGGGAGAAACGACCCAGAAAAGUGCUGGAGCCUCUCCAGGAACGGAUUGGUGACAGAUUCCUGGAAGAAGGGGAAGCUCGCGAAAUGAUAAGCGCUGAAGGUUGGGAGUGGUUGGAGAGCGAAAGCCCCCAAAGGCGCCUCGUUAAAGCCCCGAGACAAGAUGCUAACGGUUCCCUCUGAAUCUGGCGGCCGUGGCGCAGGCGACAUAUGGCGUGAGAAGAGGAGCCGAUGGCAACAGAUUUUUUGGUUCAUUUUGAGAGAAAAACACGGAUAAACACAGGCUUUUGCUGUUUAAAAACUGACUCAUCAUUUUCAUAAAACAAACAGCCAAAUCUGGAGGCUCCGGAGUCGGGAGAGUCCGGGGUUUUGCCGCUGGAAAUCGAUGUCCUGUAGGUCUUUUGGCUGAU